GGGGGAAAAAUUAAUAAUUUAUAAAUAAUAAAAAAAUUUUUAAAUAAGAAUAAUUUAAAGGGGGUUAAAGUAUUUUUAUUGAAAAAAUUAAUUAUUUUAUAGUGUAAUAGUAUUGUGAAAGAAUUUUGAAAUAAUUGAAAAUUUAAAUUAUUUAAAAGUAAUUUUAAUUUAAUGUAUCUUGUGUAUCAGAGUUUAUUAAAAAUUUUUAUUAUAUAUUAAAUUCUCGAAUUUAAAAGAGAUAAUUAAUUAAUAAAUUUAUUGUAGCAAAAAUAUUUUAAAUAAUUAAUUGGAAAUGAAAUGUUAAUCGUUUUUAAAUAUAUCUAGUUUUUUUAGAAAAAAAUUUAAUUUUAUAUUAUCUUAUAAAAUUUUUAAUUAAUUAAAAAUUUUAUAAGAUAAUUUUAUAUUUUAGGGGAUAAGCUUUAAAUUAAAUUUAUAUAAAUUUUAUUAUUUAAAAAUUGAAAAUUAUAUGAUUUAUAUUGUUAAUAAAUUUUAGUUUAUUAUAAAUAAUUUCAUUGAUAAAUAAAAUUUAAAAUAAAUUUUAUAUUUUUAUAAAAAAAAAAUUAAAAAUAAAAUUUGAUUUAAUAUAAUGAUAAAAUUAGUAUACAUAUAUAAUAUAAUGUUUAAUUUAUAUUUUUAUUUAAAAAAUAAUUAAAAGGAAUUCGGCAAAAAUUUAUAUUCACUUGUUUAUCAAAAACAUGUCUUUUUGUAAAUAAUAUAAAGUCUAAUCUGCCCACUGAUUUAAUUAUUAAAGGGCUGCAGUAUUUUGACUGUACAAAGGUAGCAUAAUCAUUAGUCAUUUAAUUGAUGACUUGUAUGAAAGAUUGGAUGAAAUAUAUACUGUCUCUUAUUUAUAAUAUAAAAUUUAAUUUUUUAGUUAAAAAGCUAAAAUUAAUUAAAAAGACGAGAAGACCCUAUAGAGUUUUAUAAAUUAUAAUUAUUAAGAUUAUUUAUAAAAUUAAUAAUUAAAAUAAUUUAAUUUAAUUUGUUGGGGUGACAAAAAAAUAAAAAUAACUUUUUUUUUAUAAAACAUAAAUAAGUGAAUAAUUGAUCCAAUAUUAUUGAUUAUAAGAAAAAAUUACCUUAGGGAUAACAGCGUAAUUUUUUUUUUUAGUUCAUAUAAAAAAAAGAGUUUGCGACCUCGAUGUUGGAUUAAGAUAAAAUUUAAAUGCAGAAGUUUAAAAUUUUUGAUCUGUUCGAUCAUUAAAAUCUUACAUGAUCUGAGUUCAAACCGGUGUGAGCCAGGUUGGUUUCUAUCUUUUAAAAUAUAAAAUAUUUUAGUACGAAAGGAUUAAAUAUUUAAAUUAAAUUUAUAUAAUGAAUGAAUUUUAUUAAAUUUUAUUUAAAAAUAUAAUUAAAAUAAAUAUAUAAUAUAUAUAUAUAUAUCUAAUUUUUA
rnacentral:rRNA from 1 species